rnacentral:rRNA from 1 species
UACGGAAGGCAGCAGUGGGGAAUAUUGCACAAUGGGCGAAAGCCUGAUGCAGCUAUGCCGCGUGUAUGAAGAAGGCCUUAGGGUUGUAAAGUACUUUCAUCGGGGAGGAAAAACAAAACUAAUAAUUUUAUUUCUUGACGUUACCCGAAAAAGAAGCACCGGCUAACUCCGUGCCAGCAGCCGCGGUAAUACGGAGGGUGCAAGCGUUAAUCGGAAUUACUGGGCGUAAAGCGCACGCAGGCGGUCUGUUAAGUCAGAUGUGAAAUCCCCGGGCUUAACCUGAGAACUGCAUUUUGAAACUGGCAGGCUUGAGUCUUGUAGAGGGGGUAGAUUCCAGGUGUAGCGGUGAAAUGCGUAGAGAUCUGGAGGAAUACCGGUGGCGAAGGCGGCCCCUGGCAAAGCUGACGCUCAGGGUGCGAAAGCGUGGGGAGCAAACAGGGAUUAGAUACC